AGAGUUUGAUCAUGGCUCAGGAUGAACGCUGGCGGCGUGCUUAACACAUGCAAGUCGAGCGAGAAAGUUCUUCGGAGCUUUUCUAGCGGCGGACGGGUGAGUAACACGUGGGCAACCUGCCUCAUAGAGGGGAAUAGCCUUCCGAAAGGAAGAUUAAUACCGCAUAAUAUUGUUGAAAGGCAUCUUUAACAAUCAAAGGAGCAAUCCGCUAUGAGAUGGGCCCGCGGCGCAUUAGCUAGUUGGUGAGGUAACGGCUCACCAAGGCGACGAUGCGUAGCCGACCUGAGAGGGUGAUCGGCCACAUUGGAACUGAGACACGGUCCAGACUCCUACGGGAGGCAGCAGUGGGGAAUAUUGCACAAUGGGGGAAACCCUGAUGCAGCAACGCCGCGUGAGUGAUGAAGGUCUUCGGAUUGUAAAGCUCUGUCUUUAGGGACGAUAAUGACGGUACCUAAGGAGGAAGCCACGGCUAACCACGUG
rnacentral:rRNA from 1 species